UACUCCUACGGGAGGCAGCAGUGGGGAAUAUUGGACAAUGGGCGCAAGCCUGAUCCAGCCAUACCGCGUGGGUGAAGAAGGCCUUCGGGUUGUAAAGCCCUUUUGUUGGGAAAGAAAUGGCUCUGGUUAAUACCCGGAGUCGAUGACGGUACCGGAAGAAUAAGCACCGGCUAACUUCGUGCCAGCAGCCGCGGUAAUACGAAGGGUGCAAGCGUUACUCGGAAUUACUGGGCGUAAAGCGUGCGUAGGUGGUCGUUUAAGUCCGUUGUGAAAGCCCUGGGCUCAACCUGGGAACUGCAGUGGAUACUGGGCGACUAGAGUGUGGUAGAGGGUAGCGAAAUUCCUGGUGUAGCAGUGAAAUGCGUAGAGAUCAGGAGGAACAUCCAUGGCGAAGGCAGCUACCUGGACCAACACUGACACUGAGGCACGAAAGCGUGGGGAGCAAACAGGAUUAGAUACCCUGGUAGUCCACGCCCUAAACGAUGCGAACUGGAUGUUGGGUGCAAUUUGGCACGCAGUAUCGAAGCUAACGCGUUAAGUUCGCCGCCUGGGGAGUACGGUCGCAAGACUGAAACUCAAAGGAAUUGACGGA
rnacentral:rRNA from 1 species